rnacentral:rRNA from 1 species
CGGCGUAAAGAGUGGUUAUGGAACUACCGUACUAAAGCCGAAAACUCCCCAAGCUGUCAUACGCACCCAGGAGUUAAAACCUCACCAUACGAAAGUAGCUUUACCCGCGCCCACCAGAACCCACGACAGCUAGGACACAAACUGGGAUUAGAUACCCCACUAUGCCUAGCCAUAAACCUUGAUACUUUUAUACAACCAGUAUCCGCCAGGGAACUACGAGCACCAGCUUAAAACCCAAAGGACUUGGCGGUGCCUCAGACCCCCCUAGAGGAGCCUGUUCUAGAACCGAUAACCCCCGUUCAACCUCACCACUCCUUGCCCCUUCCGCCUAUAUACCACCGUCGCCAGCUUACCCUGUGAAGGAAAGAAAGUAAGCAAAAUGGAAACCUUCCAGAACGUCAGGUCGAGGUGUAGCACACGAAGUGGGAAGAAAUGGGCUACAUUGCCUGACACAGGCUACUCACGAAAAGUCAUCUGAAAUGAUAACUCAAAGGUGGAUUUAGCAGUAAGAGGGGAAUAGAGCGCCCCUUUGAAGCUGGCUCUGAGGCGCGCACACACCGCCCGUCACUCUCCCCAAGAACCAUUAAAUAAAGUAAAUAACAUCAUACAACAAAUAAAGGGGAGGCAAGUCGUAACAUGGUAAGU